CUAAGGGAUGUAUAAGCAUGAGACGCUUGCAGUGACAGGGCAGGGAUUGACCCUGUGAUUCAGUAUGCAUGGUAAAGUGCUCUAUGAGAGUGUGUCUGAUGAUGGUAGUGCAAAUAAGUCCAACAGUGCAAGAAUAAAGUCUAGAGACCAGCAUUAAAUAUGGACAGUAUAUAUAAGAGAAUAAUGUAUACAUAGUAAUAUAAAACUAUAGCAGUGCAAGGAUAACGUUUUUAAAAAUGAUAGCAUUAAAUAUGGGCAUUAUGUUCAAGUAUUACAGUUAUGUUCAGUUUAGCUCACUCCAGGCUGGGUGAAGGAGGGAGCGGUUGUUCAUAUGGCCUAAUAUAGCCAGUAAACAGUGGGCAAGUACUUUAAAUUAUGGUAGAAAAUCUUCUUUCC